UACGUAGGGUGCAAGCGUUAUCCGGAAUUAUUGGGCGUAAUGAGCUCGUAGGCGGUUUGUCGCGUCUGCUGUGAAAACUGGAGGCUCAACCUCCAGCCUGCAGUGGGUACGGGCAAACUAGAGUGCGGUAGGGGAGAUUGGAAUUCCUGGUGUAGCGGUGGAAUGCGCAGAUAUCAGGAGGAACACCGAUGGCGAAGGCAGAUCUCUGGGCCGUAACUGACGCUGAGGAGCGAAAGCAUGGGGAGCGAACAGG
rnacentral:rRNA from 1 species